GGGGAAUAUUGGACAAUGGGCGAAAGCCUGAUCCAGCCAUGCCGCGUGUGUGAAGAGGGUCUUCGGAUUGUAAAGCACUUUAAGUUGGGAGGAAGGGCAGUAAGUUAAUACCUUGCUGUUUUGACGUUACCGACAGAAUAAGCACCGGCUAACUUCGUGCCAGCAGCCGCGGUAAUACGAAGGGUGCAAGCGUUAAUCGGAAUUACUGGGCGUAAAGCGCGCGUAGGUGGUUUGAUAAGUUGGAUGUGAAAGCCCCGGGCUCAACCUGGGAAUUGCAUCCAAAACUGUUUGACUAGAGUACGGUAGAGGGUAGUGGAAUUUCCUGUGUAGCGGUGAAAUGCGUAGAUAUAGGAAGGAACACCAGUGGCGAAGGCGACUACCUGGACUGAUACUGACACUGAGGUGCGAAAGCGUGGGGAGCAAAC
rnacentral:rRNA from 1 species